rnacentral:lncRNA from 1 species
UCCCUCGUUAUUCUCUCCUGGUGUUCCUCGUAUUGGUGUCUCAUCCCUAUCUGUAUCUCUCUUACUCUAUGCUAUCGCUAUCUCUAUUCUCUCUUCCUUUCCAUUCUGCGCACUUCUUUCCUCCUCCGUAAUUUUCCUUUUUGGUGUUUCUGGUCUUUCGCUUUGAUUCUCCUCUAUGCUUUCUUUUCUCUUUUUCUGUAGACUUUGGGGUGGUGAGUAACCUUUUUUCUUCUUUUCUUCUUUCUUUUUCCAACUGUAUACUUUUCUCCUGUAUUUUCUAUCAUUUCGCUUCCUUGAAUUUGUACCUCCGCUCUUUGUUCCUUUUCCUUUUCCUGAUCCUCUUCUUCUACUUCCUUCUCUUGUUGCUGUAGACACCUUGCUUUCAUGUGUCCCCUUACUCCGCAGUGGUAGCAGAUGGGAGGUCUUCCCUCCACAACCAUUCUUAGUUUUAUAUCCUCGGCCAACACGAUUUCUUCUGCUAUUUUGUGAAAAUCUGGUAAACUUAUUUGGAUCGUUGUCUCGAGGCUGUAUACCCAUCAGUUUACCUCUGUUGUCCUUGUGACUUUCAGGAUUUUUGUUUCCUCCUUCGUGCUGAAGAGGAUGGCUACCACCAGCCAUGCCUCAUCGAUCUCUGUGGGCACUCUGUUAACCCUGACUCUGGCCGCACGUUUGCCACAAUAGGUUGGGAAUAGUUCCCACUCUGACGACCUCAAUACCCCAGUGGAGUACUUUAUUGCGUCCUGUUCGGCCGCAAACCGUACCUCCACUGGGCCAUACUUCUUUCCCCUAGUGUAGAAUGUCGUGAGGACCUUAAUCUCCUUUAGACAUUCCUCCACUGCUUCCACCGUCGCUAUUUCCACCUUUUUACUUGAUGUUAACAGCGUUUUAUAGACUACUGUCCUUUUUGUUACUGUCUCUUGCACUUCCUUUGGCGGUGUCAGCAUCGGACUGGUACCCUCUUUUACGAUAAGUUCAUUAUACUGUUUAACUCCGUUCUCCUAGAAUUUCACUUCUCUCACUUGCAAUGCGUCCACAGACAAACCUUUCCCGGUUGCUGCAGCAUAACUACCGAAUGGUUGUGUUUCCAUAUUUUCUUGUGUUACAACUUCCCCAAUAAAUGGGGAAGAGAACAAUAAAAAAUAACAACUCAUAAAACAUUCAACAAUAACAAUAGGUACAGAAUACCUUCAACACUUUUUCUAGCAACCCUCCUCACUAGGAUAGCCUGUGGGGGUGCCAGUUUAGUUGCCAACAACCCGACCAUGCAACACGUUGUACUGGAUUCCAUGUUACCAGUAGAUAGAUAGAUAGAUAGAUAGAUAGAUAGAUAGAUAGAUAGAUAGAUAGAUAGAUAGAUAGAUAGAUAGAGAGAUAGAUAGAUGCAUGUGCGUUAUCACAUACAUAUAUAAGGAAUUUGUAUGAGGUGGAAGUAAAUGUCUCCGAAAAGGAACUAGACAUCCUCUUCUCCGCAAUACCGGGUGAACCAACAGCCCGGCAUGAGCCACAGACGAGGACAGCGGAAUCAGACUCCUUUAUACAUCAAAUGUACCAACAUACAAGAGUGGUGAUGUGAAACACCCAGACUGAGGAAUUCAGGAAGACCGUGGUGGUGCUCCAGCAUUACCACGUUCGCAUGGCUUAAACGAGUAAAAGAUUAAAAGAAUAUAUACACACACACAUACUACCUCACUUUACAAGGACCCGCUUUACAAGAUUCCGGGUUUAGGAAAUUUAGUUUUCAACGAACUUGUAUAUGGUGAGCGGAAAAUUUUUCAAGCACAAGAUCCAAAGUUUAGUUUCAUCAACCAAUUUUGGUUUCUGCUACCAUAACGAAUGCUUCUGCGUGUUUUAUAGAGAACGAAAAAUGCUUCUAUGCAAACUACUCUAGACUUGUUAAAACGACUGGCUGGAUGGAUCCUAAGAACAUUCAGAACCAGAGAUAAGAAAACCAUGAUGGUCCUCUGGCGGACAUUUGUCCUCAGCCGCCUUGAUUACUGCUCACAGCUAUGGUCACCCACCAAUGUGAAAUUAACAGCGGACCUUGAAGAAAUCCAGAGAAGAUUCACAAAGAAAAUCGUCUCUUUGCAACAGCUCAGCUACUGGGAAAGGUUGAAACAGUUAAGAUUCUACUCCCUGGAGAGAAGAUGGGAGAGGUAUGCAGUAAUGUAUAUCUGGAAGAUCCUGGAAGGAAUUGUGCCAAAUUUUGGCAUUGAAAGUUACACAAAUGCCAGAACGGGACGACACUGCAUACUGCCAAAGAUCCCAGCAAUGCCAUCACGCUUCAGGACCAGCUACUGCAACAACCUGGGUUUCAAGGGCCCACAGCUUUUUAAUAUUCUUCCAAAGAGUCUGACGAACGUGCACAAAGUAGAUGUAGCGAUUUUUAAAUCAAAGCUGGACCUUUUCCUGUCGAGAGUCCCAGAUGAACCUACCUCACGGCAAGAGGUGCAAAUGAGGGUAGCUAUAUCAAACUCCAUGCUUCACCAAGUGCCACAUAUUAGAGGAGGCUCUUAGUAAUAACAGUGUAGGACAAAACGGCGGUGCAUCGGCAUGGCAGCAGCUCUGAGCUGAAACUAAAAAAAGAAAUAACAAAAAUGAAAGUCCAUAUACGAGUGCUUGUGAAUCGGUGAUCGCGUCUACAAGUCAUAGAGUGUGCGAGUCUAGAGCAAGUCAAAGUGAUUCAGAAAACGAUUAUAGUAAUAUUGUUUUUGCAAUACGUUAUCCUGAUAUUCUUUUUACAUUGCGUAAAAUAUUCUUUACAUUCUACUGUUGGCCUAUUGCCAUUUAUUUACGAGUAUUAUAACUUUUGUAGUCAAAAUAUUUUUCCUUGAAGGAAUCAUGAUUUAUAUACAUAACUACCAUGGGAAAUAAUUGCUCUGCUUUACGAUUUUUCGCUUUACGAGCGAUCUCCGGGAGCAAAUUACCUCGUACAUCGAAGCAUUAAUGUGUAUAUAUAUAUAUAUAUAUAUAUAUAUAUAUAGAUAGAUAGAUAGAUAGAUAGAUAGAUAGAUAGAUAGAUAGAUAGAUAGAUAGAUACAAGCACACACACAAGUAUGUAUAAAUGUAUGUAUGCAUAUAUGUACGUAUGUAUUAUGAAUAUAUACAGGUGCGUUGUCACAUGCAUACAAAAGGAAUUUUCAUAUAUAUAUACACACAUACAUGCAUACAUAUAUAUAUAUAUACGCAUAUACAUAAACACACACAUAUAUAUACAUGAGUAUAAUAUAUAUAUAUAUAUAUAUAUAUAUAUAUAUAUAUAUAUAUAUAUAUAUAUAUAUAUAUGCGUGUGUGUGUAUGUAUAUAUGUGUGCGUGUGCGUAUGUAUACGUAAUUUUGUAACUAAAUGCGAGUGAAUGAGUGCGUGUCAACAUAUACCUCUGACGGUGCGUGUUUAUGUAUGAAUGUGUUUCGAUUGUUCUCUUCACACUACAGCUUCCAGUCCUUGUUUAUUAGAUUUUUCUAUAGCUUUUAAAUCCUCGACAGUCUAGACUUGAAACAUAAUUCCCUGUCAUGGCUCUAGGCCACAAAUCUAAUCGCAAAUCCGAACCAUUACAUACACUACACUACCUCAUUCCAUCACUUUAUCUCUGCCUACCUCUCCCUCUAUUUUUACUCUUAUCUCCUUCAAUCCCCUACGUUUUAUUGUCCUAUCUUUCUGUCUCCUUUUCUUGUCUUCACUCUAUAUACAAACCAAUAUGUUAAUCGAUAUCUCUCUCUCUCUCUCUCUCUUCCUCCAUCAAUCUCUUUCCCUCUCUCUCUCUUUCUCCUCUUCCUGCUUCCUUGUGUCUGUCUCAGUCGAUCACCGAGAGACAACUCCUAAUUCAACUACUGCCAUUUCCAGUUCUUUUAGAACCUUAUUACCAUAUUACUAGCAUACAUAUAUGUAUGUGUAUAUAUAUAUAUAUAUAUGUGUGUGUAUAUAUAUAUAUAUACACACAUGUAGAUAGAUACAUGACAGACAGACAGACGGAUAGAUAGAUAGAUAGAUAGAUUGACAGACAGAUAGAUAGAUAGAUAGAUAGAUAGAUAGAUAGAUAGAUAGAUAGAUAGAUAGAUAGAAUGGAUAGAUAGAUAGAUAGAAUGGAUAGAUAGAUAGAUAGAUAGAUAGAUAGAUAGAUAGAUAGAUAGAUAGAUAGAUAGAUAGAUGGAUAGAUGCACACACAUAAACAUAUGUAAAAACACAUGCAUAUCUGUAUAUGUAAGUAUGUAUGUUUGUAUGCAUGUAAGUAUAUAUGCGUGUAUGUAUAUGAUAUGUAUGCAGAUGAUGGCGUAAUUUCAAACAACAGAGGCCUGAAUGCACAGAACUGGAGUCUACAAAUUUCGUUGACUUAAUGGUUUGACCGUUGAAUGUAAUGUAAUAUUAUCAUGAAAACGCAAAGAGUGAAACUGACAGUUGUAGUGUCUUGUAUAAGUUUUUACCGAAUACGGUUCUUUUCCAUACCGAAAAUACUUGGUAAAAUUUAUUAAUUUAUUACAUUAAUAAUUCUUUACCCGAUAUCUGUAAUGAUUAUAUUAUUCCCUGGUAACAAAACUGCGGAUCUCUUUCUGCGGUACUAUCUUGUGACGCACAUGGUAAUCUUGGAGGGAAAUACGAAUUCACUCGUCUAUAUAAGUUUGCAUAUGCUGACUACCUUGUGUUAUGUUCUAAUGGCGCGUGAUCAGAAAUACCAAGGGUAAGUUUUCCUAGCAUUUUCAAAUUUAUAAUUCUCGAAAUAUUAUGUUGACAAAGGAAAUGAAUUUUUAUAAUUCUAAACCAGAAACGCGUCCAUAAUUAAUCGAAGACUGUUUGAUUUCAUUAUUUUUAUUAUUUUUACCUAUGUGAGUUACAAAUAUUAUUAUCUGUGAAGAAAUAUUUUGUAGGAAAAAGAAAUAACGGUCUUUUGGCUGCUAUUUCUAAAUUUUCGGUAUGUGGUGAAUCAACUUUUUGCUAAACCCUUAAUUAUUGUUUUAAUUAUAUAUAUUAAUAAAAAACUUUUGUAUAAGUGUUUAUCGAAUAUGUUUCUUUGAAAUACUAAAACUACUUGGUAAAAUUCUUUACCCUAUAUCUGUAAUAUAUAUAUAUAUAUAUAUAUAUAUAUAUAUAUAUAUAUAUAUAAAAUAGUAAAAAGUGAAAAAACUACAGAAGGCUUGUUUUAAAAGGUUAAAAAAUAUAUAUUUGAGUCAAUAUGUCUGAAGAAUGUUAUCAAUUUUUUUCUUACAAUGACAUAGUUUAGAAGAAAUGACCGGUUUAUAUAUAUCUAUAUAUAUAUAUAUAUAUUAUUUAUUUGAAAAAUUUACAGUUUUUUUUCUCUUAUGAGGUUUUUCACGCUAACUACUUGAUAAUUUCUUGUUAAGAUUUCUUAUUUAGAUUUUAUCCUAUUUUAAAAAUUUAUAAAUAUAUAUAUAUGUAUAUAUAUAUAUAUAUAUAUAUAUAUAUAUAUAUAUAUAUAUAUAUAUAUAUAUAUAUAUAUAUAUAUAUAUAUAUAUAUAGGGAAAGUUUACGAAAAAAACAAGAGAAGAAGACAGGUGGUGUAGAAAACAAACAGAUGUAUUAGUAUAACGCUCAGGAAUAGAAAAAGUCUUUUACAUUUCGAGCCUACGCCCUUCUACAGAAAGGGACAUAGAAAAAACAAGGAGAGAAAAAAUGUGUGUAGUGGCUAACGAUCUAUCAUGGCGACUGACUUCGGACAGAAGGGUCACACACGAGAUCGAAGAGACCAGAAAAUACAGGAAAGUUUAGAAAGUAUUUUGACGUCAUGGUGUAUUGCAAGUAUUUUUUCAUCAAGAGUAGAUUCCACAGUGAUCCGUAGGUAGGAGAGGUGCAACCGGAGGGUAAAUGUCAAAAAGAGAACCCGUAAAGGAUGGAUAGAAAGUCCAGUGCAGAAGUUCGUGUGUUGGUAAGAAAUGACAGGAUCAACAUGUGCGACCACAUGUGAGCGUGUGAGGCAAAAGGACAAACCGAUCUGACUACAGCUUGGGGAAGAAAAUAUUUUAUACACCAGAUAUAUGAGUAUAUUCAAUAUAUAAUAAUAUUUCAAAUACAUCUAAGACGACGAGCUGGCCGAAACGUUAGCACGCGGGACGAAAUUCUUAGUGGUAUUUCGUCUGCUGUUAAGUUCUAUGUUCAAAUUCCGCCGAGGUUGACUUUGCCUUCCAUCCUUUCAGGGUCGAUAAAUUAAGUACCAGUUGCGUAGUGGGGUGGAUCUAAUCGACUGGGCCCCGCUCCCAAAAUUUCUGGCCCUGUGUGUAGAGUAGAAAGAAUAUUUCAAGUACAUCAUACCUAUACACGUACGCACACACAGAUACAUAUGCCUACAUGCACAUAUAUAUAUAUACACGUGUGUGUGUGUGUGAUUGUGUGUAUAUAUGUGUAUAUAUAUAUAUGUGUGUGUGUGUGUGUAUAUAUAUAUAUGUAUAUGUAUAUUCUCUUUCUCUUUCUCUUUUCUCAUUUACUUAUUUCAGUUAUUUGACUGCGGCCAUGCUGGAGCACCGCCUUUAAUCGAGCAACUCGACCCCAGGACUUAUUCUUUGUAAGCCCAGUACUUAUUCUAUCGGUCUCUUUUUUGCCGAACCGCUAAGUGACGGGGACGUAAACACACCAGCAUCGGUUGUCAAGCGAUGCUAGGGGGACAAACACAGACACACAAACACACACAUAUAUAUAUAUAUACAUAUAUACGACAGGCUUCUUUCAGUUUCCGUCUACCAAAUCCACUCACAAGGCAUUGGUCGGCCCGGGGCUAUAGCAGAAGACACUUGCCCAAGAUGCCACGCAGUGGGACUGAACCCGGAACCAUGUGGUUGGUUAGCAAGCUACUUACCACACAGCCACUCCUGCGCCUAUAUAUAUAUAUAUAUAUAUGUAUAUUCUUCACCUUGUACGGAUAUGUUGCAGUAUCAAACAGAAGGCUAUAAACUUUAUAAUUUUGGAAUGAACUUUUACGGAAUCUUCUUUUUAUUGCAUUAUUCAGUCAAUGUAAAUAAUAUUCAAUAUUCUACUUAAUUUGCGAUUUUAUGUUUCACUGAGUUAUAUGAUUUGGUUUCAUCGCUCCAGGCGUAAAGUUCCCUUUCAUAUUCCUUCUUUGUUUGGCGGAAAAUAAUAAAGAUACCAGCAGAUUUGCUCUGGCGGAAAACAAUAUAUCUGUUGCAACUUCUAACAUAUUUAAUAUAAAAUAACAAUAAAAUCAAAACUCAGACAUAGUUGUUUUUCUAUUUACUGGAAAUAUGAUUUUUUUCAUGAAACCAAUUUCGUGUUAAUUUACUAAAGCUACUUGGAGUUCUGUCUUUAAGUAGGUGCAAUCAACGAGGAAGCAAAACUGGGUUACAGUCCCUGCUUCUUGUAAAAAGAACAAGCCUUAUAUAGCAGCCUGAUGUCAGCCUAAUGUCUGGUAUUGCAUAGAACUAGAACAUCAAUAAAAUAUCUGCUCACUACUUCGUGUGAAGAUUGUAAUACGUAUGGAACAGUCAAUAUAAUACACAUCAGUUCAAUAUUGAAUUCUUAACUGGGCUUAAGAUCUCAAUAAAAUAUCUAUAUCUGUAUUAGGUAUAAGGCCUCAAAUUUCGGUAAAUCAAAACGAUAUGGCUACAUGCCUUGAAAACGAAAACCUGAAAAUUGUGAUCCAUUCAUAUAUACUUUAUUAACCCUGGUUUAACCGAGCGUCAAAUGAACUCAGAAGAAGACGGGGGUGUCACUAAGGACGUAAACAUUCAUAUAGUUAUUUGUAUAUUUAUUAUGUUCUUAUAGCAAUUGGUGAAGAAUACGGUCGUUGACCGCAGGUUCCUAGCUGUAGAGAAAGGAUAUCUUGUACCAGCGACAAACAAUUCCGUCUGUCAUUCUGCCUUUCCGUCGACAUAUCGCGGUGCCUGCCAGAAGUAUUCCCAGGCAUUUAUAGCUGGAUUGAGGUUGAAUUGCCUUCAUCAUAUCCCCACUUGACAAACCUAUCCUGCUGUCCUGACAAGCUUUCAUCUCAUCGUAUCGUAGCACAUUUUAAGAGCUCAAACUCCAUCUUAAUAUUGUUGGAGAAAAUCCGCACAGACUGGACAGGGCUGUCCACUUAUUAUUAUCAUUAUUGUUAUUAUAUUAUUAGUAUUACUCAGUAGUUUUAUUUUAAUAGUGUGCUUUCACUUCACUACCGAGCGCAGCUCUGUGUGCCUUGGGUAUGUGCUGUGAUUUGUUGUGAUGCUCUGAUGGUUAUUGUAUGGAAAGUGUUCUGCGUAGGAUGUGUGCAGUGCCCAGUAGUGCAAUUUUCUGUAUGUUAUAUGUGUUUGUAAGUCCUGGUGUUUUUGUUAUGUAUUUGUCUGAAUACUUUUUUAUCAUACCUUAUGCACCUACUAUGAUAAGGAUUAUUUCUGUUUUUAGAUUCCACAUUCUAGUUACCUCUAUUUCCAGGUCUUUGUAUUUUGAGAGUUUCUCCAUUUCUUUUAGAGACACGUUGUUAUUAUUAAUAUUAUUAUCAUUAUUAUUAUUAUCACAGUUGCUCAUUUUUCUUCUUUCACAUUGAUCCUGUUAUGUCGAUUAUGAUACAUGUUCACCACAACAAUGUCCGAUUUCCGAUGUCUAGUAGGGGUGAAAGCACUGUAUCAUUGCAUCUCACAGGAUUUUGCCAUUCUCUAUUUCGGUGGCUCCUUCUGGAGUUUUCUCAUACCACGUCUUUGCUCUGCAGGCCGCGCUUACUACAAAGCUACCGACGGAUCCUUCUUACCACAUCGUGUUGGCAUCUUCUGCAUUCGCGUUGUGCCUAUUUCGGGCAUUCGCUAUGUGCCAUACCGCUUCACUCUUCUCACAACACUUUCUGGAUUUCUCGCUAUCAGUAGUGUUGUCUAUUCUGCACUUCAUAUAGUUGAUCCUUAACGCUUGUUCUUGAGUUGCGCAUAUGAAUGCUUCUGUCUCUAUCUUCAGGUCACACCUCCUCAUCCGUAGCUACCGCUCCUCUGUAUCUGUCUUGGCAUUCACAUCUCUUGCAAACUGACCGUACAUUUUCUUUUCCCUCCAUGCUACUUUUUUUUCCAUUUCUUGUUUAAAUUUUUCUUUGGUUACACAAUUUCCAGUGUUGAUCAACUCAGCCUUCUUCGUGUGUUUCAACAGUGGCUCCACGGUCUUUUUUAUAUACCACCAUAGGGUGUUUUUCUCUGCUUCGGUGUAGUCCUAGCAAUUGAUUAAACCUCUCCCAUCCUUUCGUCUGGACAAGUACAGCCUGUCGAUGUCACUCUUAGAGUGGAAGGCUCUGUACACUCUCAAUAUCCUUCUGGUUUUGGUAUCCAUUUUCUUCACUUCUCUCUUUUGCCAUUUGAUAAUUCCCGCUCCAUACCGAAGUGAUGCAGUGGCCCACGUAUUAACUGCUUGGAUUUUAUUCAAUCCAGUCAACUUUGAGCGGAACACCAACCUCAGUCUUCAGAAAUAUUCCAGCCUCAGAUGCUCUUUCAUUUCCUUUUCCAUUAUCUCGUUGAACUCUGGUACACCAAAGUAAUUGUAUACUUCCGUUUCAAUUUGUUUAAUCAGAUCUCCGUUCGGUAAUUUUAUCUCUGCUAGGGACUUUAACUUGCUUCUUUUUAGGUAGAUUAUUCUGCAUUUCUUGAGUCUAAAUUCCAUUCUAAUAUCAGUACUAAACAGUGGACCGUGUUCACCAAAGAACUCGCUUUAGUCUCACCCUUGCAUAGAGAUACAAAUCAUCCAUGAAAUGUAGAUGAUUGAUUGUUUAGGACGUUUCCUUUAGUUGAUAACCCAAGUUCAUUUUUCAAAAUGCUAACUUCAUAUUCCUAAAUACCACAGCAGAGAACAAAAAGCAAAUGAAAUAGGCUAUCACCUUGGAAAAUCCCUCUUCGGAUAACCAGGGUGCCAAAGCUAUUUCCGUAAGAUGUCAGUUCAGUUUUCCAUCCCACCAUACUACUCUUCAGGAAAUACGUUACAUCUCUCGCAAUUCCAAGCAGAUCUAAGCGCUCGAUGAUCCGUGAAUGUACAAUCAUAUCACAAAGUUUGCGAUAGUUAAUCCAGAUCAUUCCUAUAUGCGCUCUUCGUUUACAAUCUUGCAUUAACAUUUCGUCUAACAAUAGUUGAUCUUUGGUACCUUUGCAUCUCCUUCUACAGCCUUUUUGUUCGGGCGCAAUAGAUCGUUCUCAUCCAUGAAUUUGUACAGUUCUUCAGUAACUUAUACAGUAACUUCCACAUUGAUGGAAGACAGGAAAUUGGUCUAUAAUUGUCAGCAGCACUUCCCUUUGGUGCAUCCUUCAGGCGCAACAACGUUCGUCCUUUUGUCAACCAGCCCGGGAGUUCUUCGUUUCCAUUUAUCAAUGCAUAAAAUUGCUGUGCAAUCAGUGUAUGGCAACUACUGAACUUUUUUUUUAUCCAAAAUCGUUGUAUACCAUAAGUCCUGGCUGCUUUCCAGUUGCUUAUGGUUUUACUCAUAUUUCUUAAAUUGUGUUCUGUGAAGUGGAUGGCCUCCCGUUGGGGAUGAGAAGCUGUUUGCUUCAGGCUGCAGAAUCAUUCAGCUAUAAUACUAUGUUGUUCUUGCUUACUCCAUAUCUUACUCUCAAAAUGUCGGCUUUCAUCAGCAUCAGGGACUAAUCUUUCACAUUUAUUAUUAUUAUUACUAUUAUUAUUAUCAUUAUUAUUAUUAUUAUUAUUAUUAUUAUUAUUAUUAUUAUUAUUAUUAUUAUUAUUAUCAUUAUUAUUAUUAUUGUUAUUAUUAUUAUUAUUAUUAUUAUUAUUAUUAUUAUUAUUAUUAUUAUUAUUAUUAUUAUUAUUAUUAUUAUUAUUAUUAUUAUUAUUAUUAUCAUUAUUAUUAUUAUCAUAGUUGUUAUCCUUCAGUAGUCUUAUUUUUAUCACAUGCUUUCACUGCCCUACUGAACACAGAUCUGUGUGCCUUGGGUAUGUGCUGUGAUCUGUGGUGGUGCUCUUCUUCUUCUUCUUCUUCUUCUUCUUCUUCUUCUUAUUAUUAUUAUUAUUAUUAUUAUUAUUAUUAUUAUCAUUAUUAUUAUUAUUAUUAUUAUUAUUAUUAUUAUUAUUAUUAUUAUUAUUAUUAUAAUCAUUAUCAUUAUUAUUUGAUUAAGAAUUCUCUCGUAUCUAUUGAGCCUCUCCCAUAUGUUCAGUUUAACAGGUCGAGAUAUCCCUCGUAGUCGUUGUAGCUAAGGAGAAAUCGAAUGAUAAAUGAGGAAGCCAGUGUCUUUCGGGAUACAGCUACAACAUUCCUUUUAGGUUCGUCUUUAUCGAUCCACACUACGCUCUUCAAUAGCACUUUAAACUUGCUUUCAUUACAUCUGCUGUUUGUCUAUAAUAUCAUCAAUCAUUAACCAUGACCUGCACCGUCGUUGAAUAUCGUUGCAAUGGUAUUACUCAAAUGUGUGGAUGAAAGACUUUAUUUCAUAUAUGUGCGUGCGUGUGUCUGUGUUCUAUGCGUGUAUGUAUAUGCGUAUAUUUAAAUAAAUAUCUACAUAGAUAUAUAUUUUAUGUGCAUGUAUAUAUAUAUAUAUAUAUAAUAUCAUAAAUUAGGGCAUCUACGAGAUACCACCAUGCUGAAAAUAGCAGCCAUGAUCUGAUUCUAAAACCACCUUAAUUGAGAAAACAAAGAGACAAGAUGAAACUAGUAAAAAAUUACUGGAUAAUUCUAGAUCUCGGAUUUCUGACUUUGCAUUUAAGACUGCUUUGCCUCGUCAGCAGAAUAUAUAUAUGAUAUAUAUAUAUAUAUAUAUAUAUAUAUAUAUAUAUAUAUAUAUAUAUAUAUAUAUAUAUAUAUAUAUAUAAGUGUACAUAUAUAUAUAAGUGUGUGUAUAUAUAUAUAUAUAUAUAUAUAUAUAUAUGGUCUUUUAUUCAUUAACUUGUAUCGGUCUUUUGACUGUGGCCAUGCUAGAGCACCUCCUUUGGUCAAACAAAUCGACCGUAGCAUUUAUUGUUUGUAUGUCUAGUGCUUAUUCUAUCGGUCUCUAAACACACCAACAUCAAUUGUGAAGCGAUGGUGGAGGAACAAACACAGACACACACACAUACACAAAGGUACACACACACACAAUCACACGCACAUAUAUAUGCCGUGGGUUUCUUUCAGCUUCCGUCUACCAAAUGCCCUCACGAGGCUUUGGUCGGCCCGAGGCUAUAGUAGAAGACACUAGACAAAGGUGCUACGUAGUGCGACUGAACUCGGAACCAUGUAGUUGGAAGCAAGCUUCGUACCACACAGCCACGACGCGCCUCCUAUGGGAGAGUAUUGUAGUUCGCUUGAAGCAUUGUGUAUUGUUUGUAAAGAAUAAAACGUUUUGAAUGGUACAACAAUGCAGUAUAAUAGAGACAAUGGGCUAUCUACCUCUGUGUGUGUGUGUGUGUACAGUUGCAGGAUAAAAACUUCCCAUAUUUCACAUUUCGGAAUAUAUAAUGUGGGAUUUUUUCUUACACUUUUUGCCGACCACACCUUAUGUUUAAGUAUGUUUCCGUGAAUUUUAUUCUAAAUGGGGUCCAGCAUGCCACUCACAACGGUGUUUUCCGACAAUAUCUGCUAGUGUACCAAUCACCUCCGUCAGAACCUCUUUAACGUACGGUUCUCUAAAUUAAUAUGCAAUGCAAUCAACAACAUGUAUAAUAAUUAAACUACUACCUCAUAACAUUUUAAUUAUGCCUUCAUUCCAAUACAUAACACCCCCGUUCUAAAAUCUGGCGUUGCUUAGUAACCGGCCAUUUCCUUUAUUGUGCAAUCGAAGUCGAUAUUAGCCCGUUUCAAAAUGGCGAUGCAAAUUUUAUUAGCUGCGAUGUAAAAUUCAAAGAAUUCCUUUUAUUAACACCUUUCGAUUUGGUUCACAUGUAAUCAAAAAUUAAGCGUGCACAUAUUAUAAUACUGUUAUUGGGAAAUUUUAAUUUAUUCCAUGUCAUAAAGCUAUCGCUCAGUUUAUUUAAAUAAAGAAUCAACAUUAUUAAUAGAAUAGUUUAAAGAAUGCCAGUGUUGCUUGUCUUGUGUUGUAUACAGCAAGAAAUAUCUCUUGCUGUGAGAAACUCGAAUAUUCUAACAUAAAUUAUUUUAGCAUUAAUCCAAUAAUCUGAAAGCUUUAGAAAUUGCAAUAUUUUUCAUCGUUAAACUAACAUCAUGUUUAAUUAUAAAUUCUUGUGUAAAUAUUAGUUAAAUUCAGGUAUUUUCACGCAUUGAGAUAAUGUGUGCAUAGUUAAACUCAUAUAAAUAUAAAUAUCUGUACAUAUAUGCAUAUAUAGUUUAGAAUUUACUACGCUAGCGAAUUCAUUGUAAUUGAGACUUGCAUGUAUUCGAGCAAUUAAACAUUGGUGAAUCGCACAUGACCUCCGUUUUAUAUGUUAGUUAGUUAGUUAGUUAGUUAGUUAAUUUGGCUCAAAAGCAAAUAGCAAGGCCAUGUAGGGGGACAUGGAGUUAAGUACAGGGUGGUGUUCAUGUAAAGAGUUCAGGCCACUUGAGGUCCAGGGAGGCUUUGAACAAAGCGGUCGUCGGCAUCUUCACCAUCUCGUCUGGCAGCUUGUUCCACGGAUCCGCAACCGGACGGAGAAAGCUCCUCUCCUUCGAUUGAGAUGAAAUCGUCGCAGGUAGAGCUUUUCGGAAUGACCCCGCAGCCGACGCUCUGGAGCAGGAGUGAAGAACAGCUCUUUCGAGAGGUUACACUUUCCGCUUAUGAUGUUGUGGGCGAGAAUGAGAUCACCACGGCGGCGGCGUUUUUCAAGAGAAUAAAGGUCGAGCGUACAUAAAAACAUGUAUAUGUUUGUGGAUGUGCGGGCGUGUUAGGCAAAUUGUAAAGCUGUCUCAGGGUUUUGAGAAUAUAGUCGUUUGUUGCUUGAAUGACACUAUGCACCGUGAAUUUUAAAAAUUGGGGACUUAAACCAUAUAUGUGUGUGUAUGCUCACGUCUCUCUAUGUAUGGAUAUACACGCACACACACACAUAAUGUAUGCAUAUGUAUACAUAAAGUGUUACAGGUUUCUAAUGUAAAAUCCUGUUGAGUACCGUUCUGUUUCCUCAUGUGAGAAAAGAAGCAAGAAUUACAUAUGUGUGCGCAUGUGUAUCCGUAUGAACGUGCGCGAUUGUGUGUAUAUAUGAACUUAUGAAUAUAUUUAUGUGUGUAUGUGUAUUAUCACAAAUUGCAGAGCAGCUAAGUCCAUAGAAAGCAAUGCAUUACACAAAUCAUUUAAGUUUGUUUGCAUAAGUUACAAGAUUACAAACGUAGUAGGUCGCGGCUUGAUAGUAUCUCCAAUCACGCAGAAAACUGUAUAUAUAUAUAUAUAUAUAUAUAUAUAUAUAUAUAUAUAUAUAUAUAUAUAUAUAUAUAUAUAUAUAUAUUCAUUUAAAGCAUUCAUCUAUAUAAAAGAAAAAAUAUAUAAUGUUAUUCUCAUAUCUACAACAAUCGCAAAAUCCUGUAUAGAAACCAAGCUUUCCUAGAUGAAAUAAUACAACGAAAAUCAUGGCAUAGAAAAGUUCCUCUAUGGACAAUUUAAACGGACAGUUGAACUCUUAUAUUCCCUUGAUAAUUUUACAUUUGCUCGUGUAAUGUAGCUCUGAUAUAUUAAUAGUGCACAUAACCAUGUUACUAAAUGAAUAAAGAUAAUAUGUAUAUAAAAGGUAUGCCAUUUUAUUCCAUGAAUAAAACCGUGAUAAGUUUUAAAAACAUUUCCGGAAACGUUUUAUCUAUUUCAUUGCUGUUUUGUUGUAUUAAAUGUGGUGCUUUUGCCAGAGAAAUAAACGGUAAUGCUGAAAAGUAUAUUUAUCACAUAGACACAGUUUUUAACUUUCGAAGGAAACUUAUGACACCUGUUUUAACCACCUGUUUAACCACCACCACCAAGCAUACCAUGACACUCACUUUCACAUCACUGCCCCGUGGUGGCACGUCGCAGCACUCGACUGCACCACCACCACCACCAUCCUGUGGAACGUUACGAAACUCCAUUUCGUCCCUACCACUAAAAACAACAUGACUCUACCCCUGGGGUACUACGACACCGGUUUCAAUAACACCACCAUUUAGUACAUCAUGCUACUCCAAUCUGACACCGCCACUGGGUACAUCAAGGUACUCGGUUUAACACC